UUAAAAUAUAAUAUUAGUCCAGCUAUAUGUACCUGAAAUCACCGGAAACAACCUCCUCAGCUAACUCAACAUGAAAUUGAUAGCCACACAGAAAAAGUAAAUAACUGAAUUUGAGCAUAGUAUUCUGACUGUGCACUAUGGGCUAGAAUCUAGCCAUAGAAUAAGAAAACAAAAAAAGCACAGAAAAAUCUCAAGCUGAGUAGACUUAUUGUUAGUGGCAAUGUUUGUAUUGAAACCUUAGGACAGUUUUGUUGUAGUACAUAGUUAUAAAAAAAUAAGUAGCCACACAGAUGUUGCAUGGUUUUCACUGUAGGGGGAAAGAGAUAGAAAUAUGUAACUCAGAAGCCAAGACAAAACCCGUGCAAUGUUAAGUUUGAGUCAGUAUUAAAUGAAUGCCCAGCAGCAUGUGCAUGCAUCUUAUUUUCUAAACAUUUUCUCCACUUAAAGGAACCAUGACUCCAGAUAUGGGGCCAGGUUGUCUCAAACCCUAUGGGAGCCACCUUGGAGUUUCUGCCUGUCAGAUUUGGCACCAGCUGAAUAUUUGAAAGAGUAAUGAUGGUGAUCCGAAUAAGCAUAGUUUCUCAAGAAUAAAGAAAGAGUAAGAUUGCUGAUUUUCUCUGCUCACUCACAAGUUGGAAGAUCAGGGUAACAAAGGAGAAACUAUAUUCCAAGGAGACAGAGUGGAAAAUCACUGGGACUCAAGUGGUGGGGGGUUUAGCUAAUAUGCAUGGCCAAAGAAUAAAAUAAUGCCGAGAAGUAGGAAGCCGUCCAAAACUCCAGCCCUGGCUCCCUGCAUGGAUGGAGGAGGGGGAGAGGGGCUGGCUGGGAGGGGUCAGGAGGAAGGGCAGCAGCAAUCACGUGGCCAGUCCGGAUUUGGGUGGCCAUCAUGAGAGGAAAGGAGCGGCGGUGGUCACGGGAGAAACCCAUGAUUGACAGCCCAGUUCUCACAAGCGUUAACUCCAGGGCAGGAAUUUGGUCUGAGCUUGAGCAAACGCAUGUUGGAAGCACUCUGCUCUGAAGGACCACCCGCUUGCGGAGUUGAACAAGAUAAGAAGUCAUCAAACUGGAAAGUCAGCGUCAUUAUUAGAAUUACAAAAUCCAAGUGGGUAGCCAUUCCAGCUUUGAUCUGGAAGUUCUAACCCCCAUUGAGGCUUCAGUAACUGUCACGCCUACAAGGCGGGGCCAAGAGAAGACCCUGAAGACCCGAGAUCCAGAUGCGCCACCUCGCUUGGUUCCUGGACCCUGGACGCUGGAGGUAGACCUAGCAGAGUUCUCCAGAGAACACGGCCAGACUGUGCUACGUCUUCCCCAGAUCCUGCAACCUAUUAUCCCUUCAUUUGUAAGUUACGCCACUAAAUAAACCUCCCUUUUAACUACAUAGAGUGGCCUUAAUAAUUUCACCAAUACCCCACCUGAUACUUUAUGUAUUUUGGAUGUUCCCUAUGUGGUGGGUGCGUUAAUUCUGUAGUGAUUUUGAAUCUCUCUCUCUCCCAAUGUGCUGCUUCCCCUUCUUGGGUCUUUCAGUGUCUCUAUUAGAUUUCCCAUCUUCAAAGUGAGGUGAGUGCAUUUCACAAUGUGUGCAUUGAUUCCUGUCUCCCAGAAUCCCCUUGCGUACCUGCACCUGCCCCUUGCUCACCCUAAGGAUGCUGUCCUGGUCCUCUUCCAUCCACUAUUAGCUCCUGCACACAGGAUGAGGCAGGCAAGUCUGAAGUGGUGUUUGCUUCAUUUUGUUUUUAUGUCUUCAGAAAGCUGGCAGUGCCAGAAGAAAGCUGUGUGUAAUGGCACGAAGGGUGUGUGUGGCAAAUAGACCUUUGGCUUUAGUUUAACUCUCAGGGGUAGAGCCAGUUUUUCUUCUACAUUUAGAAUAGGUUUUAAAUAAAACUUAACAAAUAAAUACAUAAAUGACUUACAAAAAUAUCAAAAUAAAUAUGAAAUAUCCAAUGAAUAUAGUUUUGUUUGUUUGUUUCAUUCAUUUUCUCUUUUUCAAUACCCAACCAGGAACACAUUUUAGAAUCUACACAAUAUAAAUAUAAUUAACACUUGAAUAAGUACCGUGUGACAAGUGUGUUUUACGUUGUUAAAUAUAUAAUAUAUAUAAUUAACACUUGAAUAAAUAUUGUGUGACAAGUACUUUGCUAAGUGCUUUACAUAGUUAACUUGGUCAUCAGAGCAGUCUCACCAGGGUGGUACUAUACUCUGUCUUAUACAGAUGAAGAAAACGAAGCACAGAUAUGUAAGUAAUUGACCCAAGGUACAAAGGCUAAAAGCCCAAGCAAACACUUUAAGGAAAUGGGUGGAGUGACUCAGUCUUGCUGCAUUCCAGAUCUCCCUCACCACCCUCACAUCCCAGCAAACUUCCUCUUCCAUUCUGAGCUUAUGCUUUUCUAGGUAGCAAAGGGUUUUGCUCCUAAGAAAACAAAAACUAGAAGUUUGGAGAUGUGACAUUAGAUCAAUGUCAUCUGUAUUAUUUGACCCCAUGAGUGAAGGUCAUACUCAAGAUUCAGAGGAUCAUGGGAUCUGGUCUCCAUAGAGAGCAGAUUUAACUGUAUGGUAAAGAGAAAUCUAUAUGCUAUAGUUAGAAGAGGGAACUCUCAAAACAUUUCAAGACAAAGACUCCUUUUCUGAAAAAAGUAACAUUUCGUAGAACCCUAGUAGAUAAACAAAGAAGCAAAAUCAUUGAUUUAUUAAUAAAAGCAUGGUUUCUAAGUUUAAAUUUGUGUUUGGUCAAUAUAAAAGCAAUUAGGCACAAAAUUGUUUCCAGCACAAUGGUGAAUAGUUACCAUGGAAACCUUCCUGACAAGAAUGCUGAAACUAAAAGGUUAAAAGGAAUAGGCCUGGGGAGAUGGCUCGGUGGUUAAGAGCACAUACUGCCUUUGGAGAGGAUCUGGGUCAGUUCCCAGUUCCCACACAUUGGCACACAACUGUCAGUAACUCCAGUUCCUGGGGACCCAACACUCCUCUGGUCUCCAGGGGCACCAGGCAUGUAUGUAGUACAUAUACAUACAUGCAAACAAAACAUUCAUACACAUAAAAACAAACAAGUCUUUUAAAGAAAGAAAAUCAAGCCAGGUAGUGGUAGCGCACACCUUUAAUCCCAGCACUCAGGAGGCAGAGGCAGGUGGAUCUCUUUGAGUUCCGAGGCCAGCCUGGUCUACAAAGCGAGUUCCAGGAAAGGCUCAAAGCUACACAGAGAAACCCUGUCUCGAAAACAAACAAACAAACAAAAAACAUAAAAAAGAAAGAAAAUCAAAGUUUGCAUGUGGUGGUGCACAACAGUAAUCCCAGAACUCUAGGAGACAGAGCCAGAGGACCUUGAAUUUGAGGCCGGUCUGGGCUCUAGUGUCCAGAUCAAUGGCAAGCAGGCAAGCUCAGUUCUUUUCUAAAACUGUCCUUCAUGUCCCAGAGAAAAGCUAGAAAGUUACAUGAAGGGCCAAGGUUGGGGGAAAAGGCCCAGGACAUGCCUAAGCUGGCGCUUCUCACAGGAAGUUGGUGCCUAGAACAAGCGCUCUCAAGGGGCUGCCCUCGGAGCAGAGGAAGGACCGAAACAGAUAAAGGCAGAACAGUAAGAGAACAGCUAGGAAGCCUGUCUCAGCCACAUCCCUUUGAGAAUUUGUCUCCUAACAAGUCAGGUCUGUGUAUAUUGGGUCAUCAUACUGACCCUGCACUUUCUAACUACUGAACUAGAGAAUUAAAUGUAAACAGUUUUAGUAAAACAGUAUCCUAAAACAAAUGGGAACAGCAAACAUAGAGUUUAAAGACAUUAGCCAGACUAAAAACCACCAGCUAUUCCAUAGGAGUUUCAGAACAAAUGAAUAGUUUACAGUCCAAAUCCACAAAGUAAGUAAGAGUUCUUAUGAGGGUGAGAACUCAUGGAGAAAAGGAGCUGAAAGCAAAGACUUCAUUCGUUGGAACAAUCUGGAAAGUCAUGUGAAACAACUGCUUUUAAUCUGUUUAUCAACUAUUCUCAAAGAAAUAGAAAAUAGGAAUUUGGAACCUUGAAAUAAAAACAUAGCACUAAAACUAACACCGUGUCAGCUAAGCAGCAGAUUAGACACAGGUGAAGCAAGUCCAUUACCCAGGAAAGGUGUAAAAGUAUUGGUUCAGAUAUGUCCAGAGAUACAAACAGAUGGGAAAUGUGAAAAAGAGGGUAGGAAAUUUGGAAGGUAGAUGAGACAGUUGGCUGUGUGUCCAAAGGAGCAAUAUUGAAGAUAGAAUAGAUGAGAACUUUUCAGAGCUUUUUAAAGAUAACAAUUCACAGAUCCAAAGAUUCCAAAGGAUCUUGAGCAGGAGAGGAGGGGGAGGAAGGACUCCAUAUCUUGAUUUGUUGUUGUUGCUGCUGUUGUUUUGUCUUUUUUCAAGACAGAGUUUCUCUGCAUAGCCCUGGCUGUCCUGGAACUGGCUCUGUAGACCAGGCUGGCCUCGAACUCACAGAGAUCCACCUGCCUCUGCCUCCCGAGUGCUGGGAUUAAAGGUGUGUGCCACCGCUGCCUGGCUCAUAUCUUGAUUUAUUAUUUGUGAAACUGAUGAACAUUUAAAAAGGAGAUUAUAAUGUUAGUUCUGGAAGACAAAAUAUUCGUAUGAACAAAAGCAGAGUUUACCAUAGGCUUCUGGGUGGAUGAUUUAUGUCUUACAUUAGCCCCCAAACCUUAAGGUUGACACCAGAUAUUUGCAGAAGUGCUCUGCCAUCUAUUAAACACUACUGAGACUACAGGGAUGGCCUCAAACACCUUGUUUUACUGGUGAGGCAUGUUACAGUGAGCUGGAGUCUGCUGGACCCAGGACCAGAACUCGGGUCGUUCAACUCAACUCAAAGGGCAAUUGUUGUGAAUAUUUUGCUCCCAUCCUCCUGGUAUUGCUUUAUCAUAUUAAACAACAGCAAAGAAAAAACAAAAUGUGAGGGAAAUUACAGUUCAAUCUAUCAGGGAGGGUUUUUGUUUUGUUUUUAGUGCUAUUCCUGUUUCGUGUAUGGGAUUUAAUCACUGACCGCAUUGCCAGUCUCCAGGAAGACUGCUCUGCUGUUCACCCUGUUCGUGGUGGACGGGAAUGUGGCCCUGACUUGCUUCCUCCUUGUGUGCAAGAAGGCAUUCAUCGCAAAGAAUGGUUGGUCUGGUUCCAGGACCCUGGUCUCUGUCACACCAUCGAUUCUGGGCUGUCACUGGGACUGACUCUUCCUGGACAUCCUGUUGCUGCCCCCUGUCAUGGAACUCCUGCAGCCCUGUGACCCUCUUCUUAAAAAAUAAAAAAAUUCUACUACAGCAGAACAUUGGAGCAAGGGUUAUGACAGGCUCUCACUGUGUGGCCCAGGGUGACUUUCAGCCCUCCAGUUUCCACCUCCCAAGUGCUGGGGUUAAGACCCUAGACAGGCACACCCAGCAGGAGAACAUUUUUAAAAGUGCUCUUGAUCAACUGUUUUUUCCUCCGAAACACAAGUACAGUGUGAGAGCUUGCUUCUUUUACUAAUGUUUUCUUCACUUAUUAACAUUGCUUCGCAACUAGGUAGUGGCAGAAGAUUGCUCUGUCCCCAGACUCCAAUGAUAGGGGAGACUUGCAUUUUUUUCCCCUAAAGUGUUUUUAAUGCAAGUCUGGGGUGGGGAAAAAACCAAACAAACAAUAUUUCUUCAGACUGGCAGAGCAUGUUUCCCCGUGAGGUAUCAGAAUAAUUAAAAUGAGAAAGGAAAAAAAAAAACCCCACAAGCAUAGACAAGUUUGGGGUAGAUCUGGAAUUUUUAUGUAUAAUUAGUAGAAGUGUUAAUUUGCUACUGCCACUAUGGAAAACAACGUGGCAUUUCCCUCUAAGCCUCAACAAAUGCACAUCUUUGGUCCAGAAGUUCCACUGGAAAGUAUGCACUCAAUACUGAGACACAAAAGUGUUCACCAGAAGGUGCACAGGGAAUGCUCUGAGCGGUCCUGGCCAUCCAUCUCUAAGUAGGGAAUAGCACACACGUCCAUCUGCCUUGUAACAGAUGUGCUAUGCUGCAUUUAUUUUGGGGAAUUCUAAUCAGUUAUGUGAAGUUAAAACCUGAACAAACAACAAAACUGUGUCUUAGAAAGGCAGAUGUUGAGGGAAAAGCAGGACAUAUUGUUCAAAACUGCACAUGAAUUACAGUUACGCAUUGCUUAAUGAUGGGGACACAUUCUGAGAAAUACAUCGUUGUGUGACGAUUACACGGUGUAGUUACACAACCUAGGAUGUCUCAUGAGCCAUAUCAGCACUAUAAUCUUAUGGGACCACUGUUGUGGUCUGUCAUUGACGGAAGCAUGAUCACGCACAGAGGACCAUGUAUGGCAUUGGGAAACAUGAUAAUGGUUGCCUUUGAGAUGGAAUAUUAGAGGGGUGAAUGAGGAGACUUCUGGGGUCCAGUAGUCUUCUGAUUGUUUACAUAAUUACAGAGGUUUGUGUAGUUCAUGACAGUUCAUGAAACAUACAAUUUGUUUAAUUUUGUGCCAUAUUCUGUAUAUUUGUUAAAAAUCAAUAAAAUGCCAGCUUCUUUGGUGUUAA